rnacentral:RNase_P_RNA from 1 species
UGAGUNGACUAGGCAGUCGCUGUGAUUUUGGAUUUGACAAUAGUUUUCCAUUUUGAAUAUUGCAGAGGAAAGUCCGGGCUCCAUAGGGNAGGACGCCAGGUAACCCCUGGGGGGCGAGAGUCUACGGANAGUGCCGCAGAAAGCAAACCGCCUUNAGAUGUUAUUAUCGAUAAGGUAAGGGUGAAAGGGUGCGGUAAGAGCGCACCGCGCUAUUGGUAACAAUGGUGGCAGGGCAAACCCCGUUCGGAGCAAGACCAAAUAGGUUUCCUUUGGCGUGACCCGCGCUGGAGACGGGUAGGUCGCAAGAGGCAAGCGGUGACGCUCGUCCCAGAUGAAUGACUGUCCUAGACAGAACCCGGCUUAUAGGUUGGCUCAUNGA